AUUGAACGCUGGCGGCAUGCCUUACACAUGCAAGUCGAACGGCAGCACGGACUUCGGUCUGGUGGCGAGUGGCGAACGGGUGAGUAAUGUAUCGGAACGUACCUUUCAGUGGGGGAUAACGUAGCGAAAGUUACGCUAAUACCGCAUAUUCUGUGAGCAGGAAAGCAGGGGAUCGAAAGAACUUGCGCUGAUUGAGCGGCCGAUAUCAGAUUAGCUAGUUGGUGGGGUAAAGGCCUACCAAGGCGACGAUCUGUAGCGGGUCUGAGAGGAUGAUCCGCCACACUGGAACUGAGACACGGUCCAGACUCCUACGGGAGGCAGCAGUGGGGAAUUUUGGACAAUGGGGGCAACCCUGAUCCAGCCAGGCCGCGUGAGUGAAGAAGGCCUUCGGGUUGUAAAGCUCGUUCGGCCGGGAAGAAAUCGCAUAGGCUAAUACCCUGUGUGGAUGACGGUACCGGAAUAAGAAGCACCGGCUAACUACGUG
rnacentral:rRNA from 1 species